UCAGACUGACCUGCCGGUCGCCGGUCAUGGCCGAGCACGUGAAAACCGGCCAAUUCCGGUCACCGGCCGGUCUAUCGGUGCAUCUCUACAUUUGACACAACAGGUUAGCGUUGCAUUAUCUUAAACAUCUUUAGAGUCUCUUAAACAAAAGGGCAUCAGCAAGGUCCAAAAUUUACUUUUUUGUCCACCAGCCGAAUGGCUAGUGAAUGUUCCGAGUUUACCAGCCACUCAAUAGAUAACCGGUGUUUUUUGGCUGGUGAGUGAAGCAAGUCUACUAGCCCCUUGCAUAUUUUACCAGCAUUUGGCUAGAUGUUUUAAGCAUUUAAGCAGAUGUGCAGAGCAGAUGGGGGAAGCAGGUCGGGGCUGAGAGCCUGGAUGCUGGCGACAGAGAUGAAGCAGGUCGGGGCUGAGAGCCUGGAUGCUGGCGACAGAGACGGAGCAGGUCGGGGCUGAGAGCCUGGAUGCGUGGCGACAGAGACGGAGCAGGUCGGGGCUGAGAGCCUGGAUGCUGGCGACAGAGACGGAGCAGGUCGGGGCUGAGAGCCUGGAUGCUGGCGACAGAGACGGAGCAGGUCGGGGCUGAGAGCCUGGAUGCUGGCGACAGAGACGGAGCAAGUCGGGGCUGAGAGCCUGGAUGCUGGCGACAGAGAUGAAGCAGGUCGGGGCUGAGAGCCUGGAUGCGUGCGACAGAGACGGAGCAGGUCGGGGCUGAGAGCCUGGAUGCUGGCGACAGAGACGGAGCAGGUCGGGGCUGAGAGCCUGGAUGCUGGCGACAGAGACGGAGCAGGUCGGGGCUGAGAGCCUGGAUGCGUGCGACAGAGACGGAGCAGGUCGGGGCUGAGAGCCUGGAUGCUGGCGACAGAGAUGAAGCAGGUCGGGGCUGAGAGCCUGGAUGCUGGCGACAGAGAUGAAGCAGGUUGGGGCUGAGAGCCUGGAUGCGUGCGACAGAGACGGAGCAGGUCGGGGCUGAGAGCCUGGAUGCUGGCGACAGAGACGGAGCAGGUCGGGGCUGAGAGCCUGGAUGCUGGCGACAGAGACGGAGCAGGUCGGGGCUGAGAGCCUGGAUGCGUGCGACAGAGACGGAGCAGGUCGGGGCUGAGAGCCUGGAUGCUGGCGACAGAGACGGAGCAGGUCGGGGCUGAGAGCCUGGAUGCUGGCGACAGAGACGGAGCAGGUCGGGGCUGAGAGCCUGGAUGCUGGCGACAGAGACGGAGCAGGUCUGGAGGACGAACAGCUGGCCGGGCAGACAGGGCGGAGCCACUCUAGAAAACGGCCUGAAGGGCGGUGAUACACACGGCAGCCAGGAGGUGGGGGAAGACGGGCUGAAGCACCAUUCCCAAACAACGACCUGGAGGGACCGCUCUGAAGUUGGGGCGACUUAGGCGGGAGCGUUCUGAAGGUCGGCCAGGAGGCGGGCCAAGAUCUGGCAUCAGGGCAUAGGCCGUCACGGUUAUUGUGCAAAAAAAAAACUUG